UUUCCCUUCGGGGCACCGGUGACAGGUGGUGCAUGGUUGUCGUCAGCUCGUGUCGUGAGAUGUUGGGUUAAGUCCCGCAACGAGCGCAACCCUUAUUGUUAGUUGCUACGCAAGAGCACUCUAGCGAGACUGCCGUUGACAAAACGGAGGAAGGUGGGGACGACGUCAAAUCAUCAUGCCCCUUAUGUCCUGGGCCACACACGUACUACAAUGGUGGUUAACAGAGGGAGGCAAAACCGCGAGGUGGAGCAAAUCCCUAAAAGCCAUCCCAGUUCGGAUUGCAGGCUGAAACCCGCCUGUAUGAAGUUGGAAUCGCUAGUAAUCGCGGAUCAGCAUGCCGCGGUGAAUACGUUCCCGGGCCUUGUACACACCGCCCGUCACACCAUGAGAGUCGGGAACACCCGAAGUCCGUAGCCUAACCGCAAGGGGGGCGCGGCCGAAGGUGGGUUCGAUAAUUGGGGUGAAGUCGUAACAAGGUAGCCGUAUCGGAAGGUGCGGCUGGAUCACCUCCUUUCUAAGGAGA
rnacentral:rRNA from 1 species